rnacentral:misc_RNA from 1 species
CUACGCCCCUGACGGAGGUUGUAGUGCUGAUCGCCGCAGUCGAGGUCGGGGAACCGGUUCCGGGAGGUUCCAUUGAUGGACUAGGAGUGAAUGAUGCGUGCGACGGCGACGACAGGUUAUGUCAUCAAGUUGAACGAAGCGGUUUUGGGGCACAACGUCACAGGCAGCGACCAGCGCCUCGCUGGGCAUUCGGGUGCCAGCAAGUGCGCGUGAACUCGACCAGACUCGGCAUCGCUUAAUUGGGCCGUAUACGAGUGCCUGUAACUGAGCGGGGUACGCCCUCUAUUUGAACACGCUUCAGGCAAGUCUCGUGUGGGGAGCGACAACGCCACCGUGUACCGCCCCAGGUGCGCCGCUGUACCAAAGGGACAGAGCCUCAGAAAAUCGUGAAACCUCAAGAAAGCUUUCGCUUUGAUGCAACACCAAGUCUUCAUGAAGCGUGCUAGCGGAUGCACAGACUCGGGUGCUGUUGGGGAACGCGGCUUGUUGGAAGCGUAUGCCAUCGGAGCCGGGAGAGCGGCGGGAAGCCUCGGGCCUGCGAACAUCGCCGCACGCCAUACAUGAUACUGCGUCGUUCUAGCAGUUCUCCAGUGCGGGAUUUCAAGCAGGCUGCGAAUGAUAUCAGCAACGCGUCCUAGUAGGCGCCUCCUAGACCAACGUCAGGUGAACAUGGAACACUGAAAUGUCCGCGGUGUUCCUGCUAUUCGUAUGUCCCGAACGUUUCUAGACGUGCAGCAGCGAUAUUCAAGGUGUGGCAAUAAAGGCUUCCGGAUUCAUAUUCAUGUAUGAGGAUUCUGGCGCGUUGGUAUCGGAGUGCGGACUUUGACGUUUUGCCGCUGGGAUUCGUCACGUCACCGGAGUCAAGAUCAUAGGCGCAGCGCUCAAGCAAAGGCUCCCAUAUCUCGCUACACCGUGAUCCGGUUUAUACGUACAAUGCGCCACGCCUCUCCUUUUCUCAUGGGUAGUGCAUGAAAAAAUUACGCAUGCUUCACGUUUUCGGCCUUUCUGGUUCCGGGCAACCCGUACGUGCAGCCUGUCGUGCCGUUCGAUUACAGAGAUGAAACACCGACGUCGUUCUUUGACGACUAGUGUACAAGCGCAUGCCGAACAUUUCUUGAACUUGUCACAAAAAACCGAUUCCGUCCGAACGAGGAAUCAUCUUGUAUUCCUGGCUAUCAAAGCAACGACAUUCCACAAUAGCGGUGUGAUACGGCGCAGGGGGUAUGCUCCCCGAGGCGCUCCUCUCGUCUAUUCCCAUGGAAACGACGCUUGGGCACGGAAAGCAGUAAGCGCAGGGAUCGCAUCCAGUGGGGCGCUCUUCACCGCUUUGCUCGACGUGAGCGUGAACGGAUGGAGAUUUCGCGACUUGCUCCCCAAGCCGGGGUUUUUUCCAACAAAACCCAGCGAGGCACAUCGUUUGACGCUGGCACAGACGGUAUCCCGUCCAUGAACCUGAAAGCCGGUGCUAAGAGCGUCGGCUUCGCAAUGGCCCCCGCGCUCGAGCGACCGUUCAACGCCCACCUGACCCAACGAGGUAUGCUGCGCGCACGUCAAAAGGUCUUGCGGGUCUUGCGGGGACCACGGUUUCCCCGGAGCUCGCCAAGAUGCGCCCUCCGCUGAACACAGCGCGCGCUCUGCAUCCAGUUAGUUAGGUAUGCAACGCGCCAAACAGGCUGACACAGCGAAUGCCUGUCGUCGCAUCUGCCGGGAACCGCUGCAGCAGACGCCUACGCUGCUCGUUCAUGGUCCAUGCGCUCCUCAAUAGAGUGAGCGAGCGCAAAGAGACGUUGGGCGGCCUCACGGAGACCGCGUUCAGCGCACAUUUCGGCGUUGAGAUAGCCGCGGACCUCGGCAAGUGCCAGACCAAUCGCUCGACUAUUCUCGUCUUCGAUUGAUCGAGCCCAGGUGCGUUCCUGUAAGGCAGUGCGCCACUCAUUCAAGAACUUGUCUAUGGAAUGGAGGACGUGCACGGCUUCCGCUUGGUUCAGGGUUUCGUCUGGGUCAGCGAGCAAUACGGAGCGCUCCAAUUCUUCGCAUUGCUUGGAAGCACUAUUCGCGAGGCUCGCACGACGAUGAUACCAGGUUGCUGCUGACGGUGUCGAGGUAUCCAGGGCCUGGGGCGGCGCAUCUUCACCGAAAGCCAGUUUUGACGGUAGCGGUGGCGCUGAUAGAGACCCUUCUGGUUCAUGCUUGGUUGCGUGUCGGGUUUUUGGCUGCGGUGUCUUGGUCAGUGCGGGCGGUGUGGUGCGCCCUGCAUCGGACGCAGGCGCCGCGGGCGAGCGCUUCACGCGGCGCUUUGAAUACGGCGUGUUUGGCAGUGCAUUCGCGGAUAGCGCUGCUCUGUGUCGCCCGGUACGCUCGAAUGCCUCAGUGCGGGAUCGUGCAUCAGCGAGGGGUAGCUGCGCAGCGUCGCCCGGUGGUGGCAUUGGUGCGCCUUGCCGGCAACCGUCGUGCCGGGGAUCACCGCUGUCACUUUCCUGGGAGUCGGAUUCGUGAGCUUUCGCUGGACGAAUAUCCGCCGCCUUUUCUGUAUCAAGAUUCGCGUAAUGACCGGAUGUGUGCUCGCGCGAUGGUGAACGCGUCACUGUAUGCACUUCCGCCGCGACCUGAUGACCCGUUGCGGCAUUGGAAACGGGCGUAAUGCCCUCCCGAUGCGUCAGCUGCAUGAGUUGGCGCUGCAACGCCUCGAGUUCCCUGCACAGCGCAUCCAUCUCAUCGCUGAACGCGGGCUGCUCACCUUGUUCAUGGCAAGCGCUAGUCGGGCGGACGAGACGCUUUCCGGCUUCGGAAACGACGGAUUCUGUCUGGGCUGACGGAGCUGCCUGACAGUCGGCAUCAGCCUCGUGAGCCGGUGCCUGCACCGCUGCUUCUACCGCUGGAGCAGUGCCUUCUCGUGCAUCACCCUGACUUGGUGGUGUUCGCAACGACAGUAAAAACGAGGAG